rnacentral:lncRNA from 1 species
GGCUUUUCUGUCUAGUGUGGGUGGUGUCCACUGGGCUGAGAUAACCUCCUGCCGGAGUCGCUGUGCUGGCAUGGCCUGACAUUUGUUACCGGGAUGGAACAUCUGGACCGUGUGUGGUUGGCAGCUGCAGCAAGAGCCGCAAGUCCUAGUCACCUCGUGUGUCUGCCCCAGCCCAGGCCUGGCAAGGUGGCAGGAAAGGCACCAGACCUGGGGGAAGAGCAUGUUCAAAGGCUCCAAGAACAAGGCUGUGACCCAAGACUGACCCAGAGUGACAAUGACAUGAAAAUCAAGGUGCUGGAGGGCAGAGACUCUGCAGUUAACAGUAUGCAAGGCUCUUACAGAGACUCUGAGUUCAGAGUCCCAGCACUCUUGCUGGGCUGCUCACAACCGCCUGAGACUGGAGCUCUGGCCUUCACAUACCUGCCUCACAGACUGUAAAAAUAAAGUCAACUGAGGGCUAGAGAGAUGGCUCA